rnacentral:rRNA from 1 species
GACGAACGCUGGCGGCGUGCUUAACACAUGCAAGUCGAGCGGUAAGGCCCUUUCGGGGGUACACGAGCGGCGAACGGGUGAGUAACACGUGGGUGACCUGCCCUUAGCUCUGGGAUAAGCCUGGGAAACUGGGUCUAAUACCGGAUAUGACUCCAUAACGCAUGUUGUGGGGUGGAAAGCCUUGUGCGGCUAGGGAUGGGCCCGCGGCCUAUCAGCUUGUUGGUGGGGUGAUGGCCUACCAAGGCGACGACGGGUAGCCGGCCGAGAGGGCGACCGGCCACACUGGGACUGAGACACGGCCCAGACUCCUACGGGAGGGCAGCAGUGGGGAAGUCUUGCGCAAUGGGGGAAACCCGUGAUGCAGCGACGCCGCGUGGAGGAUGAAGGGUCUA